ACUGCCGCCCCGUACCGGUGUGUCCGCGGCGCGCGCCGCCGCCACCACCAACGCCACCGCCGCAGCCACCGCAGCCGCCGCGCGGGGCCGCAGGGAAGAGCCGCAGGGCUCAGGACGGACAGGUGGGGGCCCCACGGCCGCUCCCGCACGGGGUCUCGGGAGGGCGCUUUGGCGGCGCGGGCGCAGCUCACCUUUAAGGCCCGAGAACAACAACAAAAAAAAAAAAGUCAGGAAACGUUUGCUUGGCCCCGCGAUCAGAUACCCCAGCCCACGCAGGCGGCGUCCUCCGUUGUCGCUGGGGACAAGUGAAGGGGCUGCAGAUGGGAAGAGUCACCCUACAGCGAGGAGGCGAUCGUAAAUGAUGGAGUCAGUACUCUCGCACAUUAACAUGCCGGAAGUGUUGGGCAGGCCUCUGAGAAAGCUAACGACUGCCCCUUUGACUGCCUCCUGAAGGUCUUACUGAAGUUGGAGAAGGUAGAAUGCUCCUUCAACCCCUUGGUUAAACCACACCCCCUCCCCGUGCAAAAGUAGGUGUAAGAUAAAAAGAAUGCAAGAAAAAGCAAUAAAGCCCGGUGUUGGAUUUUAUUCCAUUUUACUUUGAAAGUCUCUCCAGUAGUGAUGAAAUCACUGAGAAGUUCAGAAACCAGAAAAGAAGAAGAAGAAGAAGAAAAAACAGUCAGAAAAUUUCUGCUGAGAAUAGACUAAAGAAAAGGGGGCGGGGAGCAGAACCAGAUGAUUGGCAAGAAGGCUUCAAGUGUGUGAGGAUGUAGGAGUUUCUUCCUGGAUGCUAGUUCCCUCAAGUCCCCAAGAAACAGUGGGCAGACUGCAGUAACAGUUGGAUAGGGGGAAACCUUUCAGUUAUUGAGUAAAUGUUCUAUCUAAUUUCCGAUUUAGAAAGAGAUUAAGGAAAAAAUGGCUGGCUAUGUGCCAACAACAAUACCUAUAAUUUUAUAUAUACAUACACGAUUAUCCCAAGUUAUUAACUGCUUUUAAAAUAGUAAACUGAGGGAGAUCUGGGAAUUCUCUUUGGUAUAAAUGUCUUGCACUUACUUUAAACUUGAACUGGGGCUUCAUAAAAACAAAUGAGCCCAUGUGUCUACGUCUGCCAGUAAUUUUCACAGUUUACUGUAAAAGCAAUAGCUCAGACUUUGGAGAGAAAAACCCAAGAGUUCGUCCGUCAAUGUACAUGGUAGAUGCCUAUGCCUACAGAAUGUCUGGAUUUGGAAUCAUCGCUCACAAUGUGUUCGUUGCUCUUGUUGACAGCCUGCAAAAGUCACACUUUAUUAACCUUAAGAGUUCUUGAUAAAGUUGAGAAUUCCCAUAUGAAUAAAAAGCUGUGGACUCUGGGAAGAUGAGUAAGGAAGCAAAGGCACAGCUAACUGUGCAGGCCUGGGGACCUGAGUUCAAUCCCUGGAUGGCAAGCCAAAAGCCAGAACUUGACAGACUUUUGUGAUCCCUGAACUCCUGCAGGGAAAUGAGGUGGAAACGGGAGACUUUGGGCUGGAAGCUCUUGGCCAGUCAGCCUGGAAUAUGCAGCUGUGCACUUGAGAGACCCUGCCUCAACCAGGCGGAAGGUGAGAGCGGCCCUCUGCCCGCAUGUGCACACACAAAAUGAUAAAAACAAAGUUAGGUGUGGUACUCGCUCUGUAAUCCCAGGGCUCAGGUGGCUUCAGUUCCAGGCCAGCCUGGGCUACAGUCUAAGACCCUAACUCCAAAAGCCAAAAAGAUUUAAAAAAAAAAAAAAAAAAAAGCUUUGUGUUUUUGUUGUUGUUUAUAAACUGAGUUAUUUCAAAAUCUGUUCCCCAUCCAUUUAUAUGUAAAUAAAGCAGUGACUACUUGCAACAAA